CAUGAUAAUUAGACAAAAUUAAUGUUAAGUACUUAAAGUUAGGGUCUUGAGAGUUUUCGGGUAAAAAUUUGACGACGGAUCAGUUAAAAAUUACACCGGGUCUCACUAAAGGACGAAUAUCACUUAAGUGACAUGGCACCCCUCAUUAGGGCACCCUCCUCUCCUUCCCUUCCAUUUCUGAUCAGCAGCCCCUUCACCUCCUUCUCUCUCUAAGUUUCAAAUUUUGAAAACUCUCUCACUUCUCUCUAAGAUUUCUUCACCUAAAUCUCUCUAAACCACCAAACUUCCUUCACAAAGAUUGUUCCCCUCACUCUCCUCUUCACAACCAUACCAUUUUCAUGGUGUGAAUCAAAAAUUUCGUGUCCCUUAUCAUCCCAAACAGCCAUGGUUUUGUGGAGAGCAAAGGCUAUGGAGUUGUGUUCUUGAGCUCUCUUGAAGAAUCACACUUGCUUGCUUGUUUCCUUUGAUUUUUGGGUGUGUGCUUGCCUAAAGGUGUGUUCUUGGUGGAAAAAGGUGGAGACUUGAGCUAAAGGAGAAACCUUGAAGAUGUGUGCCUAGAGAACCGUGCACUUGAGGAUUUUGUUGGAGCAUACGUAUUAUAUUGGAGUGUGGGCUUGUGCUAAGCUCCCUAAGGUAAGCUCCUAGUUCUAGUUGACUCCUCUCUCUUGUGGCCCCACCAUGAUGGUGGGCAUUAUGGUUAUAUUGUAUGAAAGUAUAUGGUAUGAUGUAUAUGUGCAUUCAUUCACAUUCAUAUAGAUGUUAUAUGAUCUUGAUGUUAUGAUGAUGCACUGAUGAUAUAUGUUAUG